rnacentral:rRNA from 1 species
GAGGAGCUUGCUCCUCUGACGUUAGCGGCGGACGGGUGAGUAACACGUGGAUAACCUACCUAUAAGACUGGGAUAACUUCGGGAAACCGGAGCUAAUACCGGAUAAUAUAUUGAACCGUAUGGUUCAAUAGUGAAAGACGGUUUUGCUGUCACUUAUAGAUGGAUCCGCGCCGCAUUAGCUAGUUGGUAAGGUAACGGCUUACCAAGGCAACGAUGCGUAGCCGACCUGAGAGGGUGAUCGGCCACACUGGAACUGAGACACGGUCCAGACUCCUACGGGAGGCAGCAGUAGGGAAUCUUCCGCAAUGGGCGAAGGCCUGACGGAGCAACGCCGCGUGAGUGAUGAAGGUCUUCGGAUCGUAAAACUCUGUUAUUAGGGAAGAACAAAUGUGUAAGUAACUAUGCACGUCUUGACGGUACCUAAUCAGAAAGCCACGGCUAACUACGUGCCAGCAGCCGCGGUAAUACGUAGGUGGCAAGCGUUAUCCGGAAUUAUUGGGCGUAAAGCGCGCGUAGGCGGUUUUUUAAGUCUGAUGUGAAAGCCCACGGCUCAACCGUGGAGGGUCAUUGGAAACUGGAAAACUUGAGUGCAGAAGAGGAAAGUGGAAUUCCAUGUGUAGCGGUGAAAUGCGCAGAGAUAUGGAGGAACACCAGUGGCGAAGGCGACUUUCUGG